CUGCCAUCACCCAAAAAAGGGUAAUGACAUAACCUUGAAGGGUCACGUUGCAGCCAAGAGCCAGCUACACAAAAUAACCUGAUAGGAUCUUUGCAACUUGUUUUUAAUCUACAGACUGCUAUAUAACAUAAGGUCUUACAAAAAAUUAGGCUGACCAAGGGAGAGGUCAUGAAGAUUAAAACAUUCCUCUAAGAGGUGGGACAGCAUGUGCAGAGUCGGAAAUCCUACCAGCAAGAGAGAGAGAGAGAGAGAGACAUCCCUCUGAGACAACCUCUGCAUUAUUCUUGGGUCCCAUAUAAAGUUGUUUGGCUUUCCCUUGCUGGGAUGACUAGAGCAGCUUUUUAAACAGGAAAAUGACACAGAUGCAAAAGAUGAUGAAGCAUUUCAGGGACAACAGGCAGGAAGGCACUUUGCAAGUAUUUGUCUGCAACUUCCUGUGUUCUCAAAGUAUUUCUGGAUGUCCUACAGUGCUGAAGCACUGAGAUUAACUCAGUAGAACACGAUUCUAAAAUAAAU